GUAGUCAUAUGCUUGUCUCAAAGAUUAAGCCAUGCAUGUCUAAGUAUAAGCAAUUAUACAGCGAAACUGCGAAUGGCUCAUUAAAUCAGUUAUCGUUUAUUUGAUAGUACCUUACUACUUGGAUAACCGUGGUAAUUCUAGAGCUAAUACAUGCUAAAAACCCCGACUCACGAAGGGGUGUAUUUAUUAGAUUAAAAGCCAAUGCCCUUCGGGGCUCACUGGUGAUUCAUAAUAACUUGUCGAAUCGCAUGGCCUUGCGCCGGCGAUGGUUCAUUCAAAUUUCUGCCCUAUCAACUUUCGACGGCUGGGUCUUGGCCAGCCAUGGUGCCAACGGGUAACGGAGGGUUAGGGCUCGACCCCGGAGAACGAGCCUGAGAAACGGCUAUUACAUCCAAGGAAGGCAGCAGGCGCGCAAAUUACCCAAUGCCGACUCGGUGAGGUAGUGACGAUAAAUACUGAUACAGGGCUCUUUUGGGUCUUGUAAUUGGAAUGAGUACAAUUUAAAUCCCUUAACGAGGAACAAUUGGAGGGCAAGUCUGGUGCCAGCAGCC
rnacentral:rRNA from 1 species